AAUAAAAUGUACAUUUGUUACAAUAGUAAUACUACAAUAACAUGUUGCUACAAUAGUAGUAGUAUAUUAUUAAACGGUUACAUUUUCUUAUUCACAAUACAAAAUGAUGAUUAAUAUGCAUUAUAUAUUUAUAUACUGGCAUUUCAAAAACGUUGUUUCUCCUGCAGUUGACACAUUUUCUGGUCUUUCUGGUUUCCUGCUCAUUUUUGUUGCUGAACACAUGGCACGAGGCUCUGCUGAGUGGUGAAGGGAACUCAGUUCAUUCACACAUGCAAUCAGACGGCUAUCAGAUCCAAGGACAAGCAAAUAAAAGCGGCCUGUAUCAAGAGCUCUCGUUCUGCAAUCACAAACAAGCCCAACGCCAAAUCUGCACCUCCCAACGUCCCGUCACAGCAUGAGCUGCAGCAGUGGAAACACAUUCACUACACUGUUUGUCAACACCUCUCAGAAAUUAGCUAUGAUUAUGUGAGCCAUUUGGGAAAUUGAAUGGAAUAAACUUAUUUCAGUGCACUGGGGAUCUUUUCACACUUCUGAAAUCUCUCGGCUUUUAAAACAGAGACAUAUUUCAAUCACUGAUUCCAUGUUUAAAGAGGCUUUUUGGGUGGUUUGACCUCUAUUUAUUUCUCACAAGUGUCUUAAUGAUUCUUCUCAUGGCUGCAGGUGUCAUAGGUUCAUUAAAACCGUUCGUGUUAAGAGGAAAUGGUGCUUCUAAAGGUUUUUUUUCUGAAGCACUCACAGGUUUUGGGUUAGUGACCUCGUCCCCACGUCACGGCCGAUCAAUACUUCGCUAAGCUUAUCACAAAACUGUUUGACUAAACCCCCUCUAGCUACAUAUAUGGAGGUUAAAGGAGAGCAGAAUGACCAGUCGUGACAGAGACUUUCUUGCCGUCUGUGGAUCUCUGGAAGAGACGAUGGGUGGUUAUGAGAGCGUGUGAGUGUAUUAUAAAGGGUAUUGUGUGUUAGAGUGUUUUUUACUGCUCUCAGUAUUUCUACAGCAUGGAGGGUCACGUGGAUCAGUCAUCUUUACCGGAUAGGGUAUGUGCUCAAUAAUGGGAGGACCGUCUAAUGAAGAAGGCAUAACUAAUCAUUUAGAGGAGACCAUCUGCACGGUUCCCGUCACGAUCCACUCCACUGACAGAAAUGUGAUAACAUUUACACCUGACCAGAGCACGAGCCAGCUGCUGAACCCAGGGUGACACGUACAGACCUGGUUCAUGAAGUACUGUUAGAUCAUUCUGAGGGAUUCAGUAAAAGAACAGCUAUUAUAAGUGAAAAAGAUGACUUUAAUAAACGAGUACACUAAAGGUCUGUCGUCCUCCUGAGCUGUGGAGUGUGACAAUGGUGUUUGUAUCCUGUGUUGUCAAACGCCAUUAUCACACUAAAUAGCCACGGUGAGACCUCACAACCACCUCAGCCAGUCAGCUCAGAGAAACAUGAUCAUGAUGAUGGAUUCUACUGUGGGAAUAUGAAACUGAAUAUGUGUGUGUGUGUGUGUGUUUGCUUAAUUUUUAAAAGAUGUUGAUAAUUUGGCAUCUGACAAAUAGAUCAUAAUAGAUCAUGUUUGCUAUAUGUGUGCACUGACCCAGUUGCCAGACAGUGUGUGUGUCAUGGUAUUUCUUGUUCUUUAUUAGUAUGGUAUCUUUAUGACAAUAAAAAAUAAGGAUGCAUUAAAUUGAUCAAAAGC